rnacentral:rRNA from 1 species
GACGAACGCUGGCGGCGUGCUUAACACAUGCAAGUCGAACGGAAAGGCCCUGCUUUUGUGUGGUGCUCGAGUGGCGAACGGGUGAGUAACACGUGAGUAACCUGCCCUUGACUUUGGGAUAACUUCAGGAAACUGGGGCUAAUACCGCAUAGGAGCUCCUGCUGCAUGGUGGUGGUUGGAAAGUUUCGGCGGUUGGGGAUGGACUCGCGGCUUAUCAGCUUGUUGGUGGGGUAGUGGCUUACCAAGGCUUUGACGGGUAGCCGGCCUGAGAGGGUGACCGGCCACAUUGGGCCUGAGGUACGGCCCAGACUGCUACGGGAGGCAGCAGUGGGGAAUAUUGCACAAUGGGCGGAAGCCUGAUGCAGCAACGCCGCGUGCGGGAUGACGGCCUUCGGGGUGUAAACCGCUUUCGCCUGUGACGAAGCGUGAGUGACGGUAAUGGGUAAAGAAGCACCGGCUAACUACGUG